GACGAACGCUGGCGGCGUGCUUAACACAUGCAAGUCGAACGGAGUGGCGAACGGGGGAGUGACACGUGGGUGACCUGCCCUGCACUUCGCGAUAAGCCUGGGAAACUGGGUCUAAUACCGGAUAGUGUGGGAUGGGCGCGCGGCCUAUCAGCUUGUUGGUGGGGUAAUGGCGUGUCGAGGCGGCGACGGGUAGCCGGCCUGAGAGGGUGGGCGGCCGCAUUGGGGCCGAGACACGGACCAGACGCCUACGGGGGGCAGCAGGGAGGAAUAUUGCACAAUGGGCGGAAGCAUGAUGCAGGGACGCCGAGGGGGGGAUGACGGCAUUCGGGUUGUAAACGCCUUUCACCAUCGACGCGGUAGGUGGAGAAGAAGCACCGGCUAACUACGUGGCAGCCGCCGCGGUAAUUC
rnacentral:rRNA from 1 species